rnacentral:rRNA from 1 species
UACGUAGGGGGCUAGCGUUGUUCGGAAUUACUGGGCGUAAAGCGCACGUAGGCGGAUUUGUUAGUCAGGGGUGAAAUCCCGGGGCUCAACCUCGGAACUGCCUUUGAUACUGCAAGUCUCGAGUCCGGAAGAGGUGAGUGGAAUUCCUAGUGUAGAGGUGAAAUUCGUAGAUAUUAGGAAGAACACCAGUGGCGAAGGCGGCGGGCUGGGCCGGUACUGACGCUGAGGUGCGAAAGCGUGGGGAGCAAACAGG